AGCGAACGCUGGCGGCAGGCCUAACACAUGCAAGUCGAACGAAGUCUUCGGACUUAGUGGCGGACGGGUGAGUAACACGUGGGAACGUGCCUUUAGGUUCGGAAUAACUCAGGGAAACUUGUGCUAAUACCGAAUGUGCCCUUCGGGGGAAAGAUUUAUCGCCUUUAGAGCGGCCCGCGUCUGAUUAGCUAGUUGGUGAGGUAAAGGCUCACCAAGGCGACGAUCAGUAGCUGGUCUGAGAGGAUGAUCAGCCACAUUGGGACUGAGACACGGCCCAAACUCCUACGGGAGGCAGCAGUGGGGAGUCUUGCGCAAUGGGCGAAAGCCUGACGCAGCCAUGCCGCGUGAAUGAUGAAGGUCUUAGGAUUGUAAAAUUCUUUCAUCGGGGACGAUAAUGACGGUACCCGGAGAAGAAGCCCCGGCUAACUUCGUGCCAGCAGUCGCAGUAAUAC
rnacentral:rRNA from 1 species